rnacentral:rRNA from 1 species
GACGAACGCUGGCGGCGUGCUUAACACAUGCAAGUCGAACGAUGAACCACUUCGGUGGGGAUUAGUGGCGAACGGGUGAGUAACACGUGGGCAAUCUGCCCUUCACUCUGGGACAAGCCCUGGAAACGGGGUCUAAUACCGGAUAACACUGCCACGGGCAUCUGUGGUGGUUAAAAGCUCCGGCGGUGAAGGAUGAGCCCGCGGCCUAUCAGCUUGUUGGUGAGGUAAUGGCUCACCAAGGCGACGACGGGUAGCCGGCCUGAGAGGGCGACCGGCCACACUGGGACUGAGACACGGCCCAGACUCCUACGGGAGGCAGCAGUGGGGAAUAUUGCACAAUGGGCGAAAGCCUGAUGCAGCGACGCCGCGUGAGGGAUGACGGCCUGUGU